rnacentral:rRNA from 1 species
GUACAAACACACCGAAUUGUAUCCCUCCUCAAACAAAGGCGGUGUGGCCACGUGCCUACCCUGUUGGGAUGAGGUGAGGACGAGGGGCCCUAACGGCGCGGCGUAGAACUGGCCUGCCGCCCCGGCGCCAAACAGCAAUAACGGCGAAGCGUACGAGGACGGAACGAUCAAGGUAAAAGGCGGUUAGCUCUUUAUUCUUACGUCCAGUAGGAGGGCGAAGGAGUCGCUAAAUCCGAAGGACCGGCAACCUAGCCCAACGAACUAGGCAAAAACAGGCAGCCUAGAGCAAGGGCCUGCUAGAUCCGGCAGCCUAACUUUCCUCUGUGAUAACGUUACUUAUCACAGUUUUGUCGACGCGGUGGCGCACAUUUUGACCCGCCGGUGGCUCCCGUAAAAGCAUUAAAGCACACCAACCUUUUCAGAGGUUAUAGCUAGCCCACUCUAGCACCUCUCGUUCGUGGCCAGCAAAGGGAGGGGAGGGCGGACGAGAGGAGAGAAGGGGCGGGGGAGGGUGCUUUGGGAUCGGCGGCGCGCACGUUGUUGGCGGCGCGAUGGUCGGGGAGGUGCCGAACUGCGGUGUCGCGUGAGGAGGAAGGUGGAGGACCGGCCGCGGGUUGGAGAUGUCGAGAGGAAGGGAGGGGCGCGGGCUUUGGGAUCGAGACGUCCUCCACGUCGUCUCUCCAGGGUCGCUGGUGCCGCCGCGUAGGUACCGUUCAGGUGGAGCGCCGGUCCGCCUCGCUGCUCACCUCCAGUUCACCUCGCGCGGAAGCGGUGGCCGACCGCGUAGCUCCCCUCCUCCGGUCCUGACCCGCUGAAGCUGAGGCCGAGGAGAGGCGGCAGCGAAGAGGUGGGUUGCGUACGAGGAGCGACCACACGUCUAGGUGCGGGCGCGGCUGAGCUGCUACCGGACACCAAAGCGCCCACAGCAGCGCGGUGUGGUGAGGGCCUGGACGAGAUUAACGUAAACGUCGUUACGUCUUUGAAUCGGUUAGCCGUUAGCAACAUGUUUCUGUCUACACCAAGUAACUCGGUUAAGUUGUACCUCCCCGAAACACGUCGAACCAGAGUUGUAUACGUCAGUUUCGUAGUAGAGGUCGGGCUGUAGUUUGUCAUGGGAAUUGUUUCGAUGUGCUACCUACGAUAAACAGUAUAAAACUGGCUACUUAGACAAACCUAUCUAAUAUGUACUAACUACACCAAUAGUCUACUAACGUCAGAUGGGGUUCCACUCAAAUAGGAAAACCAAAUACGUUUUUACGAAUAAACCGAAGUACAUAUUGUACUAAAAGUCGUAGAUUAUAAACAAGACAGGUUGUACUCAUGUACUCUUUCUUCACGAUGACGAUGUAAUGACGACGAACGGAUCCCUUUUCUCUCAAGGUAACAUUUUAUUCUACAGUCCAUAACUCCCGAUCUGACAUGUACCGUUUCUAAUUACACAAUGCCACUUUGGUUUAGAAAUCACAAACCCACAGUAGAAACAAUUGAAUAAUAAUUCGUAUAGUUGAUACAUAAAACAGGGUGUACUUACUAACUGUUUUUGAGACGAAAAAUGCUGUAGUACAGAGUGAAUAACAGUACAGAUUUAUAAACUUAAAAUACAACUACAAAACUAGCACCUACGGUUUUGUAGUGUCAAACGGACUAUCUCACUUAAGGUAAUAUUUUACUUCAAGGAAGGUAGUUAAUAUAUCGAAAAUAAUUAAAUUAAAAAGAUGAAACAUGAGGGAGGCAGGGUUUUAUUCACUGAGUUGAAACAUGAUUCUCCCUCAUAUAUGUAUAACCAAGAAACCUACGAAAGCAAAUUUCUAAACGUCUCUAGUUACUCCUAAACCCACCGUACUUCCCCUGACCACUAUCCUUUGUACCCAGGUUCUUCUUUAGUUUGUCGUACUACUCAACAAGAAGGAAAAGUUGGCACAAGAACUUAACCUUAAUACAAAAUAUUUCACGAACACACAACCAGUCUACAUAUAUUCACUUUCUUUUAUUUUUUACCUACCUCUUUCCCUUGAAGAACGAAAAGAAAAGGAAAACAAAGAGACAAACUAUUAAUGAGGGAUGCUACUCUUGCAAAUGCUUAUCUUUACAGGAUGAGGAACUAGGGAAAAUCACACUUCCCGAGCUGCCGUUCGUACUGGCAGACGAGGUGCGAAAUAACCAACAUAGAGACCGAGGCACACGCGACGCGGUGUGCGCACAAACAACGAACGCACGACGACGACGCACAUACCACACAACCGAACUACAAACACACACACACACACACACACACACACGUGCGCGUGAUCGAUCCACUCCUAGUGACCGAGUGACGAGAGAGAGACAUCGAAGAAUCCCCUUUUUAUGAAACGGCGCCCAGACGUAGUACGAAGAUCGUAGAAAGGUCCGUCAAUCUACAAAGGUUCUAGUUCUCUCUUUUCCAGUAACGUACGUAUAUGAAAAUCUACUGUGUACUGGUCUUCAGAAAGGAUACUUUUAGUACACCGGAACACUGUGGGGCUGGGAAAAGAAGUCUUUAAACACUACACAAAUACGUACAGACAACACUACACGUAUCCUCGUACUAAACAAGACGGUGAAAUCCGUAAUCGUGUGGAUAUUAUGUCCAGAACUCAGAUGUUUCGCGCGGACACUUAACCGUUACAGACGUAUUUAUACUACUUAAUUUAAUACAAAACUCUCCCUAAACAAGUAGAAGUUUUGAUUCCUUCAACCCACUCGAAUUUUGUGGAUAAGUAGUAAAAGUCACUUGAAAAGAUUAAGAUAAAAUUUAGGUGUUCUCCCGUUUUAGUAAAGAGAAAGGGUUUAGUAGAUUUAGCCUACCCACCCAAGGUUUGAGGGUCGCGGUAAACAGUAAAAACACAAAACUAAACAUGAACUCACGGAAACCUGGCUACCAUGAUACCUCUCCACUGUAAUUGUGGUAACUACCAACGAAGAGAGGACAUCUGAUUUAGAGGAAGAAGAGAUACAGUUAUAUAGUUGUUUUGUUCUCUAGAUAUUAUAGUAACAAAUACCUCAAGUGUCUAAUAGCUUCUAAAAACGACGGUACCUUAACACUCAAACACUGAUAUGUAAGAACACAGGAUGUACACUUAACUUCUAUAUAACAGAGACAUACACUUACAUUUAUAGGUCCAUACAUCCGUUCAGGAUUGAAAAUACGUGUAUAAAUAGAUACUUUACGUACGUUCGUUUAGUGUAGAAUGUAUGUUAACGGGGGAAUAACCAUUUACACUACUAGGAAUUUAAUUGGCCAACCUCUAGCCAUCUGUCAGGACACAUAACUGUUGACCUCAAAUCACGAGUUUUAGGAAGAUUGAAAAGAUGACUGACAUAAAAGAACUGUCGAAAUUCUCUUCUUGCUCAUGACAAUCAGUAAGAAACAGUACAUAUUAUCAUAUUAUGACCUCUACACUUACCUAUUACAAGUAAAUCAUGUCAUAGUCAUCUACUACUAAACAAAGGAAGCGUCAGUUGAGUACAUAUAGGACUAUACAAACUAGAUAAGGGUUUAAUUACGUAUUUCAUCGGAAUUGUUAAUAUGUCAGAGAGAUACAUAAUCAUGAGACAAAAGAGACCAAAAAACAGUCGACCUUCUUUAGUCAAACAGUAUUGUACACUUUUAGUCAAAUAAAUGGAUGCAACAACGAAAAUAGUCAAUCGUUUCUACAAACAGUUCAUCAUUCAAUCAGUAAUGUCACUUCGAACCGUUUCCCUGAAGACCACUCCGGACAUUCCGAUCUUCGUGACAUACAUUCCACCAUGGGAUACUACCUAUAAGUAAAAAGUUGAUUAUGUACUGGUGUGAUCUCUUAUAGUCCAAGAUUUAUACAUGCACCUACUUGAAAUUUAUGUACCUAGGUUAUAUUUGCACGCCUUUCAUCAUUUAGUAAAGUGGAACCGCUCCGUGACACUAGUUGUCGGAUCGGGUUCGUACGGUAUCGAGGAACAUAUUACGCAACGAUCUUGAGG